rnacentral:rRNA from 1 species
CACUCCUACGGGAGGCAGCAGUGGGGAAUUUUGGACAAUGGGCGAAAGCCUGAUCCAGCAAUGCCGCGUGAGUGAAGAAGGCCUUCGGGUUGUAAAGCUCUUUUGUCAGGGAAGAAACGGUGAAAGCUAAUAUCUUUUGCUAAUGACGGUACCUGAAGAAUAAGCACCGGCUAACUACGUGCCAGCAGCCGCGGUAAUACGUAGGGUGCAAGCGUUAAUCGGAAUUACUGGGCGUAAAGCGUGCGCAGGCGGUUUUGUAAGUCUGAUGUGAAAUCCCCGGGCUCAACCUGGGAAUUGCAUUGGAGACUGCAAGGCUAGAAUCUGGCAGAGGGGGGUAGAAUUCCACGUGUAGCAGUGAAAUGCGUAGAUAUGUGGAGGAACACCGAUGGCGAAGGCAGCCCCCUGGGUCAAGAUUGACGCUCAUGCACGAAAGCGUGGGGAGCAAACAGGAUUAGAUACCCUGGUAGUCCCAUGA